UGGGAACCCCAUUAUGGGGGGGUUCUCACAACUACCCUCUUAACAAGGGAUUCCCCUAGUAACGGCGAGUGAAGAGGGAAGAGCUCAAAUUUGAAAGCUGGUACCUUCGGUAUCCGCGUUGUAACCUCGAGACACGUUUKSCYKRCGGCUGCUAWUGGGACAAUGUUCCUUGGAACAGGACAUCGUAGAGGGUGAAAAUCCCGUACUUGCCAYGGAUGUACCGUGCUUUGCGAUACGUGCUCUWAGAGUCGAGUUGUUUGGGAUUGCAGCUCAAAAUGGGUGGUAGACUCCAUCUAAAGCUAAAUAUCGGGGAGAGACCGAUAGCGAACAAGUACCGUGAGGGAAAGAUGAAAAGCACUUUGGAAAGAGAGUUAAAAGUACGUGAAAUUGUCGAAAGGGAAGCGCUUGAAGUCAGCCAUGCCGCUMAGGACUCAGCCKGGCUUUUGSUUGGUKKAUUUCCUGGGUAGCAAGUCAGCAUUGGUUUGGAUCGUCGGARAASCGAUAGUCGRWRKKKGSCYSCYCRGGGYKKRRCCUUCUUUUGGAACAACAUUUAAACAGGAACCCCCCCCCUUAGGGGGUUUGAAAUUUCUCAAGGACGGGGUUUGGGGGGGCACACGCCCAU
rnacentral:rRNA from 1 species